rfam:Oryza brachyantha chromosome 9, whole genome shotgun sequence.
CAUGCAGGUGAUGAGAGCAAGACAGGGACAUCAGCACCCUCUCUGUUUCUGGGAUGGGAAUGAUCGACUGAAGUCUAUAAUGGGAAUCUCUCUGAUGCUUU